GCGAGCGGCGGAUGGGUGAGUAACACGUGGGGAACCUGCCCCUAAGUCUGGGAUACCAUUUGGAAACAGGUGCUAAUACCGGAUAAUAAAGCAGAUCGCAUGAUCAGCUUUUGAAAGGCGGCGUAAGCUGUCGCUAAGGGAUGGCCCCGCGGUGCAUUAGCUAGUUGGUAAGGUAACGGCUUACCAAGGCGACGAUGCAUAGCCGAGUUGAGAGACUGAUCGGCCACAUUGGGACUGAGACACGGCCCAAACUCCUACGGGAGGCAGCAGUAGGGAAUCUUCCACAAUGGACGCAAGUCUGAUGGAGCAACGCCGCGUGAGUGAAGAAGGUUUUCGGAUCGUAAAGCUCUGUUGUUGGUGAAGAAGGAUAGAGGUAGUAACUGGCCUUUAUUUGACGGUAAUCAACCAGAAAGUCACGGCUAACUACGUGCCAGCAGCCGCGGUAAUACGUAGGUGGCAAGCGUUGUCCGGAUUUAUUGGGCGUAAAGCGAGCGCAGGCGGAAAAAUAAGUCUAAUGUGAAAGCCCUCGGCUUAACCGAGGAACUGCAUCGGAAACUGUUUUUCUUGAGUGCAGAAGAGGAGAGUGGAACUCCAUGUGUAGCGGUGGAAUGCGUAGAUAUAUGGAAAGAACACCAGUGGCGAAGGCGGCUCUCUGGUCUGCAAACUGACGCUGAGGCUCGAAAGCAUGGGUAGCGAACCAGGAUUUAGAUACCCUGGUAGUCCAUGCCGU
rnacentral:rRNA from 1 species